GUGGGGAAUAUUGGACAAUGGGCGCAAGCCUGAUCCAGCCAUGCCGCGUGAGUGAUGAAGGCCUUAGGGUUGUAAAGCUCUUUUGUCCGGGAAGAUAAUGACUGUACCGGAAGAAUAAGCCCCGGCUAACUUCGUGCCAGCAGCCGCGGUAAUACGAAGGGGGCUAGCGUUGCUCGGAAUCACUGGGCGUAAAGGGCGCGUAGGCGGACUUUUAAGUCGGAGGUGAAAGCCCAGGGCUCAACCCUGGAAUUGCCUUCGAUACUGGGAGUCUUGAGUUCGGAAGAGGUUGGUGGAACUGCGAGUGUAGAGGUGAAAUUCGUAGAUAUUCGCAAGAACACCGGUGGCGAAGGCGGCCAACUGGUCCGAAACUGACGCUGAGGCGCGAAAGCGUGGGGAGCAAACAGGAUUAGAAACCCUUGUAGUCC
rnacentral:rRNA from 1 species